rnacentral:rRNA from 1 species
GAUGAACGCUGGCGGCGUGCCUAAUACAUGCAAGUCGAGCGAACAGACGAGGAGCUUGCUCCUCUGACGUUAGCGGCGGACGGGUGAGUAACACGUGGAUAACCUACCUAUAAGACUGGGAUAACUUCGGGAAACCGGAGCUAAUACCGGAUAAUAUAUUGAACCGCAUGGUUCAAUAGUGAAAGACGGUUUUGCUGCCACUUAUAGAUGGAUCCGCGCCGCAUUAGCUAGUUGGUAAGGUAACGGCUUACCAAGGCAACGAUGCGUAGCCGACCUGAGAGGGUGAUCGGCCACACUGGAACUGAGACACGGUCCAGACUCCUACGGGAGGCAGCAGUAGGGAAUCUUCCGCAAUGGGCGAAAGCCUAACGGAGCAACGCCGCGUGAGUGAUGAAGGUCUUCGGAUCGUAAAACUCUGUUAUUAGGGAAGAACAAAUGUGUAAGUAACUAUGCACGUCUUGACGGUACCUAAUCAGAAAGCCACGGCUAACUACGUG